AACAAGAAAGUAAGAGAAAUAGUACAGAUGAGCACAAGAAGCUAGCAAAUACCCAUAAAUGUUCAUCCUUAAAACAAAAAUAAAAUUGUGUGGUUCCCACCCAAAUGCAAUUACUUAACUAGCCCUUAUCUUACGAACAGCUGUUACUCAGUUCAUGCUGUGACCACCUACUCAACUAGCACCCACACAGACGACAUAGAACUACCCAAGAUAACUUUGUAUUUAUAGAAAACAAUUACAGAAUAUAGUCUCAUCAGUUCACGAGUUGUUAGGCAACAAGCUAGCUAGAAAACGGACAGCCACAAGUCUGAGUCAAGAAGUCGUGUCAAACUUCCGCUAGCUACUUAAAUUUGACGUAUUUAAGAUCAUAGAAAUGGUAAAAAUGUCUUUACAACUGCUACACUUUUGCCUUAAGGGGAAAAUAUUAAGUUUAAAGUCAUAGAUGCCUGCUGAGUAACGUGUGCUGCAGAGUGCGUCACGACUGAGCUGGAGCAUACUGUGCCAGUACAAACUGGAAAGAAGACGCCAUUUUGAGGGAAGACGAACGAAACGGAAUGGUGGAAUGUUUGUAAAAGCAAGAUUACAUGACGUCACCGGGCACGCCCUCAUCCAGAACUACACGGACAGUUAAAUAACCCCUCAUCUUCAACUAUCCCACAGCCAGUUACCGUCUGAUUAUCUGUUAGACUCUCUGACUCUAGCCAUGUCACUUUAACCAUAAUAGAAUAAAGCAUACGUAAGAGUUAAAACUGUGUCCAGGGCUUGUCAUGUUUCAGAGUAACAUGAGCUAAAAAAGAUAAUCCAUUCUCCUAUUAGGAUGCUGUCUAUAUGAAGGGAUGUACCUGAAUGGCACUAAUAUUCAACUAUACAAAUUAUGAACCACCAAUAUUUAUAGAUUUAUUUUGGAAAAUUACAUGAUGAUUUGUUUUCCCUGUAAUGUAAACAUUAUAAAUGUGUAUUUAAAUUGUGUUGAUGCAAAGUCCUGCUUAAAUUAUUGCCCGCCAGCUAGAAAUGCUGUAGGUUAAGUAGGGUAACAGUUCCCAGAAACCAUCUUCUAUCUGUUCAACUUUCGAGCCAGACAACUGUAAUGUUGCAUUCCAUCUACUGGAAAACCAUUACUGUCAUAUAGGACUGGAUUUACACAACACAAUCUAUAUUAAAUGUUUGUGCUUUAAGUUUAAUAUUUGUUUCUCAACAAAAAACAAACUGUAGAUAACCUAUCUGUUGUGCUUAGGAACAGAUAUUUAUUUCAUGUAGAUUACUUUUUUUUUUCUGUAGUUGCUUGCUAAUAAUAAAAGGACUAUGUGUGCAAAUGUUGCAUUCACAUUGACAAUCCCUGGGUUUAGGGCUGCCUCACGGCCCUGGCAGUCACAGGACUCUGGGCACAAGGUUUUUUCAUUCAACCAAGGAAGCAUUUCCUUGAAACAAAUAGUUGUGGAAGUAGUAAUGGACACUGUACCAUACAUUUCAGCUUUGUGAAGCUCAAACAGUUCUUGUUGAGGCUGAAUAACAGAUAUUCAGCAAAAAUUGUAACAAAUGUUUGUAAUAUAACUUAACAAAUGCAAAGACACAGAUGAGUCUCAGGUGAGCUUUAUUACUUAAAAAUACAUUGAAAAACAUUUCAAAAGUCCACACUGGUUACCUAGUACACAGGCACACACACAAAAAGAAAUCUACUCUGCUUAAGAUGAAAGUACUCAGCAGAGGUCCAUUAAUAUAAUAUAUUUUUGGUCUUAAGAUAAAUAUGCCUCAUUUAUCAACAUGAAUAAUGAAUGACAUUUCUUAUUCUAUGUAAUACAAACAAACUCUCUUGAAGAAAGGAAAGGAACUUUUAUAUUGCUCACGCUCCGUGCCACUGACUCAGUCACUCCAUCUAACGCCAAGAGUCCCAGCCGGUUUCUGCAUUCUGGCUCCCCUGAUUAUUGAGUGGUUUCUAAUUCCGUUUACUGAUUUAACCUUUCAAUGUCCACUCACUCUUUGCAAAUACCGGCAUGGUUCAUUCCUGCAUACUAAAUGUUUCUGUUGUCUUUCUCUUUGGUUAACCAACCUGUGUCUGUCUCUGGAUUUUGCCUUAGCUCAGUUCCCCUAUGGUUUGUUUGCCUUUAGGGAUUGCUGUCAAGCUAUCUGUACUUUGGGCUGUUGUCUCGUUUUGCCCUUAGUCCAGUCCAACUGUACUGUUUUUGCCCGCUCUGGAUAUUGACCUGUUUUUGUAUCUCGACCACGGCUUUGGAUGUCCCCUCUGUCAAUAAACCCAUAUUGCCUCAUCAUAUCUGAAUCGCAUAUACAGUAAAGGCUGUUUAAAAAAAAUAAAAUAGUGGAUCUAACCAACCAUGAUCUUUUUUUUUCAAAGUAUUAGUGUAAAUAGAGAUUGCUUCUCAUUUGAAAAUAAAAGGACUUUCUUUAUAUUUUCAUGCACAGAAAAGUACCAUCACCAGCACUGAGCCAGCAAAAUGUGGUACAUAAAGCCAUGCACAUAGCUAAAGUGGUGGCAGUUAGAGAUGCUAUAAAUGACUCAAAAGGUGUAGGAACCGAUACAGUAACAUACAUUUAACAUGUUUGUGUUCAGGUUAGCAUAUAACAAUACUGAUGCUCCAUUUUAUCACGGCUUUAACAGAGUAUAUUCAGUUACGGACACAUGAAGCACUUCAGAGGGUCUGACCACAGCAUUGUCUAAUAGAUUGCCGUCUUUCCACAAAAGACAGCUACAAGAAUGUUCGCUUGAGAGGCACUUGGCUGAAGAAGUGUGGCACAGGCUCAGAAUUCAGCGCAUCCUUAUUCUCAGACUGUAUUUGAUGCUACGCACAUCUGAACUGGAGAGGUUGGACUUUAUUUGCAGGAGGGCAAGGAUAUGGCGUUCACUGAGAAGAGGAACCAUGGAAUUAUAAGAGUCUAUGUGGGUCUCUCACAGUAGUUUAUUUAUAUAUGUAAUAUCACACUGAAUUGAUGCCUGCAUUGGAAGAAUAAGCAUCUUGCAAUGUUCCAUAUAUUUGGUACAUAUAUGUAUGUAUGUAUGUAUGUAUGUAUGUAUGUAUGUAUGUAUAUGUAUAACUACAUUUCAUAUCUUAUUUAGUGAAUACUGCAAGAAAAUGAAUGUGAAGAAUGCCUGGUGUGGGCUCUGUGAGUCAGUAGCAAAAACACUUUUCACAGCCCACAGCUUUUUUGUAGAGCUAAGAAAUUCCCAAAUAGAGUUCUUAUGCUUUUGAGACAUAUUGGACGUGUGGUGGCUCAACAACCUCGACAUUUUUCUAUAGGGAAUGGUGGAAUGUUUGUAAAAACAAGAUUACAUGACCUCACCGGGCACGCCCUCAUCCAGAACUACAUGGACAGUUAAAUAACCCCUCAUCUUCAACUAUCCCACAGCCAGUUACCGCCAGCCACAAUGACCCCCACAGCACCUCAAUAACUGCCCCAUCAGCCAAAUUGAGCUACAUAAUCUCUCAAUUUCAAUUACUCCCAAAGCGCAACCACCCGCUUAGUGCACACCUGUUUCCUGUUUUCUUUGGAAUAAUAAUUCCAGUAUAUCAUAUCCAGCCUUGCUUCAUAUCAGGAUCUACGAGAGACUGUGCUACGCUAUUCUAAGUAUUCCAUGCUCAUGUUCAAGUCUAUAUCUUGCCCCUAGCUUCUGAUUUUGUCUGAUUAUCUGUUAGACUCUCUGACUCUAGCCAUGUCACUUUAACCAUAAUAGAAUAAAGCAUACGUAAGAGUUAAAACUGUGUCCAGGGCUUGUCAUGUUUCAGAGUAACAUGAGCUAAAAAAGAUAAUGCAUUCUCCUAUUAGGAUGCUGUCUAUAUGAAGGGAUGUACCUGAAUGGCACUAAUAUUCAACUAUACAAAUUAUGAACCACCAAUAUUUAUAGAUUUAUUUUGGAAAAUUACAUGAUGAUUUGUUUUCCCUGUAAUGUAAACAUUAUAAAUGUGUAUUUAAAUUGUGUUGAUGCAAAGUCCUGCUUAAAUUAUUGCCCGCCAGCUAGAAAUGCUGUAGGUUAAGUAGGGUAACAGUUCCCAGAAACCAUCUUCUAUCUGUUCAACUUUCGAGCCAGACAACUGUAAUGUUGCAUUCCAUCUACUGGAAAACCAUUACUGUCAUAUAGGACUGGAUUUACACAACACAAUCUAUAUUAAAUGUUUGUGCUUUAAGUUUAA